CACAUAUUGGAUAUCAGCCUUUCACAGACAAUACAAACAAAACACUCCCACAGUGACAUCACAAUCCCUCCUCUCUAUCCUGGAGAUAAUUGGGAAGUAAUCCAAUUAUCUCCCAGGACAGAGGCAAGACUCCAUUAACCACAUGGUUACAAAAAGACCUUCAAUUACACAAUGUUACAAUUACUACAUAAAACAGAUACAU